rnacentral:lncRNA from 1 species
CANAUAUAUAUAUAUAUAUAUAUAUAUAUAUAUAUAUAUAUAUAUAUAUAUAUAUAUAUAUUUAUAUCUAUCUAUCUAUCUAUCUAUCUAUAUCUAUAUAUAUUUAUAAAGGAAGUAUUUUUCCUUUCACCAUAUUCAUUUGAAACUCCCAUGACCUCUCAAUUUAUUUUUAAUAAUAAUUAUAAGUUGGUUAAUAAUGUUAAAUAAAUAUCAAACCUAAAGUGUAAUCAUAUAUAAAAUAAAAUUUAAUAUUAAAUAAUAUCUUUACUUCUACUUAAAAAGUUAUGUUUUUUUUUUUAAUUUUAACAUAUUAUAAUUAAUUGAUUGGUUUUAGUAUAUUGUUGGAUGUAAAUCAUUAUCAUUUUGAAGAUACAAUUUUCGUACAAUUUGCAUAAAAUACUUAAAUUGUUAACUUCAAUAUAACAUUACAUGGUCAACUCAAAUAUAAAUUCUACUAAAACUUAAACAAUCGAAAACAUAUUUUGUAAAUAAUUACAAGUGAUAAAUUAUAGUGUCUUUCCAACAAUGAUUAUAAGCUGUUUAAUAAGGUUAAAUAAAAAAGUGUAAUCAUAAAUAAACUAAAUUUCGAUUUUAAAAUAAUAUCUUUACUUUUACUUAUAAAGUUAUGUCUUUAACUUUUAACAUAUUAUACUUAAUUGAGUAAAUUACACAAAUGGUCCCUAUGGUUUGGGGUGAUUUUCGCACUUGGUCCCUCACUUAUCUUUCUAGCUCGAAAGGUCGUUAUUGUUUGUUUUUGUUACACACAUGGUCCUUAUUGUUUGUUUUUGUUACUCGUUUGGUCCCUGUCUUACCAAAAAAAGACUAUUAUUUAAAUAGGAAAAAUUGGUGGGGUAGGUAAGGUAAGGUGAGAGGGGAGGGGUGGGGUGUGCUUGGUUAAAUAAGAUAAAAAAAAUUAAUGGCAAAAUAAUCUUUUUAGAUAAGACAAGGAUCAAACGCGUAACAAAAACAAACAAUAGGGACCUUCCGAGUUUUAAAAAAUAAGUUAGGGACUAAAUGCGCAAAUUACCCUAAACCAUAAGGACCAUUCGUGGAAUUUACUCUUCUUAAUUUAUUAGAUUUAAAAUUUUGUUGUAUUUAAGCAUUACAAGUUUAAAGCUGCAACUUUUGAACAAUUUGAACAAAAUACUUUAAUUGUUAAUUUAAAUAUAACAUUACAAUGUCAACUUAAAUAUAAAUUUCAGUUCCACUUAAAAAAUCAAAGAAUAUUUUGUAAAUAGUUAAAAGUGAUAAAUAUAAAAACAAAAUUGUAAUCCCAAUUUAACUAAAAUAUUUCCUAAAGAUAUUUUAUAAUCGUUAAAAGUUUUCAAAUAAGUAUCUUAAAAUAACUUACAAUAACAGUAGUUAAAAAUAACUAUAUAGAAAUAAUUAUAUUGUUACCUUUAAAAUCAAAAAACAAUGUUUGAUGUUUUACAUAAUUAUAAUGAUAGAAAUUUAAACAUUAAGCAAAUAAAUUUUAAAAAAUUAAUUAACAAUAACAAAAACUUGCGGGUAGAAGUCAUUCAAAUGAUUCAGAUUAUGCAGUUAUAAUAGAUAUAUAUAUAUAUUAUCAUAUAAUUCAAAAUAAUCAAUUUAUUAUAUCAAUUUAGUAUACAAAUAAUUAUAUCAAAUUUAACAUUAUUGUUAAGAUAAAAGAAAACGUAUAUUUGUAAAGACUUCAACUACAUAGGUGUUUCUGCGCAACGCACGGACAUUCGUCUAGUAUACUUAUAAAGGAAGCAUUUUUCCUUUCACCAAAUUCAUUUGAAACUCUCAUGUAUUUUUCUUUCACCACAUUCAUUUGAAACUCCCAUGACUUUUCAAUUUCUUUCUAAUAAUAAUUAUAAUUUGGUUAAUUAGGUUAAAUAAAUAUCAAACCUAAAGUGUAAUCAUAUAUAAGCUAAAUUUCAAUAUUAAAAUAAUAUCUUUACUUCUACUUAUAAAAUUAUGUUUUUUAACAUUUAACAUAUUAUACUUAAUUUAUUAGUUUUAAUAUAUUGUUGGAUGUAAACCAUUAUCAUUUUUUAGAUACAAAUUUGGAACAAUUUGUAUAAAUACUUAAAUUAUUAAUUUAAAUAUAACAUUAUAGGGUCAACUUAAAUAUAAAUUUCAGUUUCACUUAAACACCCCAAAGAAUAUUUUGUAAAUAGUUAGAAGUGAAAAAUUGUAGUAUCUUUCUAAUAAUGACUAUAAGUUCGUUAAUAAGGUUAAAUAAAUAUCAAACAUAAAGUGUCAUCAUAAAUAAACUAAAUUUCAAUUUCAAAAUAAUAUUGUUACUUCUACUUAUAACAACAUAUUAAAUCGCCGAGUAGACGCUAUGAAGAGGAACCCUAAAUCCCCGGGUUUGGGGCCUAUUUAAGGACACUUAUAGCCUCAUUUGCAGCUCACCGAUUGUUACCUUCAUUGAGAGAAACCCCAAAUCGACCAUUAAGCUUAGAGAGAGUAUUUUGAGCUAACUGAAUGUUUGGUGCAUCUUUUGAAGAGAAUGGAAGGAUUCCAAGCCAAGGGACGAGAAGAGGCUAUUAGAUCCGUGGUUACUUCACCUUAGAGCUUCUGGGAAAGGUAUAAAGCUUACAUCUUUCUCAUUUUGUUGAGUAGAUCUCAUGAUUUUGGGAGUUUAAGGCUUUUUCCAUCUAAUAUGAGGACUUUUGAGUGUUUUGAGUUCAUAUAGAGGUUUAGACUUCAGAUCUGGACCAUGUAAGGUCCAUAGAGUCCAAAAUUCUCUGCUUUAUUCAGCCAUAAUAAGGCUCAUGGGUGAAAAAAAUCCUUAUUAGAGUAUGUUUUUGGCAUUUCAAGCCCUAAGUGUCAUGCAUGGACGUAAAGCUCGUAGCUUUACAUGAUAAACGAGCCUUAAGAAUGUAGAUCUAGAGUUUGGGAAGGUUUUCUGCCUUGAAAUCGUCUGAAUGAGAAAAGAGUCUGAAUGGACUCAACAAUUCGAUGAGCCGACUUGACGAGUCAGUUAGGGUUUGUCCCGAUGAGCUGGCCAUGCUAUAACUUAGCGGGUUAGGGGUUAACUCGACGAGCUUGACCUUCACGAAGACUUAUGAGGGAUGAGUGGACUUGACGAGUCACAUGAGUGCACUCGGCGAGUCAGGUCAAACUUGGACUGUGGACUCGAUGUUUGACUUCUAUUGACUUUAGGGUUGGUCAACAUGAGUAAUGGGGACCAUGGAGUGGUAAAAUGGUAUUUUACCCAUUCCAAGAAUUUGAGAGAAAGAGAUACCAACCUUGGUGUAAUUGCGUACGAAUAUAGUAUCAAUUAGAGAUGGUUAUCCUAUGUAUUAGGCAGAGGAUAGUUCAAGAUUUCCAGGCACGAGACUUGUACUUACUAGCUUAUGAGGUGAGUCUUCUCACUAUACUUACCAUGAGUAGUAUCCUUGUGUGACUGAGAUGUCUUAUGUGCUUAUUUGUGUAUUGUGCUACUUUGCAUUUUGUCCUUGGGAUUUAUGCUUAUUGUUGUGAACUUAUUGAGUUAGGGCCAGAGGGUCCUCCCAAGUGGUGGGACCGGAGGGUCUCCACUAGAACACAUUGACCAGAUGGUCGUAUUGAGUUAGCCUCGAGUGGCUAAUGCGAUAUGUGUGGUAUAUUGGGGAACUUACUAAGCUUUGUGUUUACCGAGUUAUGUGUUAUGUGUUUCAGGUACCUCUGUGGAUCACGGGAAGGCGUCAGUCUGAUUGUACACACAUCAGUGAUUAAGUUAUGAUUUAGAGGAUCCUGGAGUUUUGAAAUAUGAACAGUUUCUAAUAUGGGAUUUGAUGAUUUGACAUUGUGACAUUUUGUGUUAUUUAUUGAAACAAAUGUGUUUUUUAAUUGAAAAUUUGGUUUGGAAUUUCACGUAGUUACAAUGAAUUUGCAAUUUCCACCAACAAUCUUCCAUGCUGAGGGGACUCGUUUGACUUUGUUUAUCCAUCUUAUUGACAAAAUACGAUGGAGACAUUUCCCAAUGUAAAUGUUGCCACUAAUUCGUCGGAAUUUGAAUUUGUUUAAAAAUAACUUUUGAUUUAUUUGAAGAUUCAAGUGUUUUUUUCGUCAAUAUACGAAAAAAAAAAAAGUCGAUACUAAACCUAUGUUCAUUAUGAUCACAUUCAAACACAAACCUAAAUAAACAUUAAAAUAAAAAUGUCAAAUACAGAUAAUUGCCUCGAUUUAGUUCAAUAAUGUCAAGUGUUUACCUACGGUAUAUAUCUUUAUUUUUUUAUUUUCCAAACUUUAAUAAUGAUAAUAAUAAUAAUAAUAAUAAUAAUAAUAAUAAUAAUAAUAAUAAUAGAAAUUGGAAACAAAGUAUAUCUUAAAGGUUUACUUAAGUCUGUAUUUUUCGAAAGAGGCUUAAUAGCUGAAAUGGUUGGUCUAAAGCCCACAACAAUCAAACGGACUUCUAGUCCAACUGUAUUAGUUGUUGUCUUCCCUCUUAGAAAUUGAGGGUUCAAAUCUCGUUUGCGAAAUAAAUAAUAUUAAGAAUAUAUUAGUUUUGUUGUUCCAAAAAAUAUAAAAAUAAAGCCCCAUAGCGUUUGGCUCGGGUUCGAGGCCCGACAAUACAAUUUUAAGGAUUGAGUCCUACUCAUGGAUCUGUAAUGGCCCAAAAAACAUGUUUUUAUCAAUAUCCCGUCUGUAAUCAUCAACAGAUUUCUGCCAGCCUAAUUUCCAGUCGGUAUUCCAUGACACACAUCACUAAAUUAGGUCUACAAUUUUUGUCGGUAGUCCAUUGGUGAUUUCCAUCGGUAAUUUUGGUUAGUAUUCACCAACUUUUUUAGGGGUGCAAUAUCCCUUAGACAAGAUCAAAAACCAAUUUAUUAAUUAUUCCAACAAUUUGUAUCGGAAGUCAUAAACGAAAAUCCCAUUGCAAACAUAUGUGUUAACACAAACUAAAUAUAACAUGUACUAAACAUUUCUAGUUGAUGGCUGCAGGAACAGUUCUAAUAUUUUUUGCUGUUCACGAAAAGUAAAAAAGACAGAAAUUUAGGAGAAGGCUGAGAAAUAUCAAACAAAAGCACUGAUCUUUAAGAUACAAGUGCUUUUCCUUCUUUCCCUUACCUUUGUUAUUUGGACAAUCAUUACACAUACCAUGAUACUAUAUAUAUAUAUAUAUANNNNNNNNNNNNNNNNNNNNNNNNNNNNNNNNNNNNNNNNNNNNNNNNNNNNNNNNNNNNNNNNNNNNNNNNNNNNNNNNNNNNNNNNNNNNNNNUAUACAUAUAUAUAUAUAUAUAUAUAUAUAUAUAUAUAUAUAUAUGAUCACUACCACUGACUAGUAGGAUACAAUCCUGAUAUUAAGCUCUCUCUCAGCAAACUCUGCAAGCUUUGGGAUCUCGUCCUUAUCAAUUACACCAUCGCCGUUGGUAUCUGCAUACUUCACGCGACGGUUUGCCUUCCAUUUUGCAAACCAGUUUCCACUAUUCUUGAGAGCUUCACGAAGCUCCUCUCGGCUAAUAACUCCAUCCUUAUUUGCGUCAAAGGAAAACAAAAAUUUUGUGAACUCUUCCAUUGUCAUCUCCGUCUUUCCAUCUUCACGACCACCGGGCUUAUAAUGCAAAUUAUUACGUCGAAGUGGACAAUGAACCAUCUCAAGGAUACCCUUAAUUUCUUUCUCUCUUGAUAGUAAAGUAUAU